GAGAAUUUAGGGACAGAGGUGAAGGGGGGGGGGCAAUUAGUGGGGGAACUUUAAGAGUGAACAUUCCAGGACUAGGAAGUGCCAGAUUUUUGUUUCUGUGAGGCUUGUAAGGGAAGAGAGCCAAGUCAGCGCUUCAAUCUGUGUGGCAAAUGUAAGCAUCAAGAACCGCUGUCUCAAAACAGAAGUGAGAGGCGAUCUCUCUUUCUACUAAACAGAAGUGAGAAGCGAGCUCUCUUUCUACUAAACAGAAGUGAGAGGCGAUCUCUCUUUCUACUAAACAGAAGUGAGAGGCGAUCUCCCUUUCUACUAAACAGAAGUGAGAAGCGAUCUCCCUUUCUACUAAACAGAAGUGAGAAGCGAUCUCCCUUUCUACUAAACAGAAGUGAGAAGCGAGCUCUCUUUCUACUAAACAGAAGUGAGAAGCGAGCUCUCUUUCUACUAAACAGAAGUGAGAAGCGAUCUCCCUUUCUACUAAACAGAAGUGAGAAGCGAUCUCCCUUUCUACUAAACAGAAGUGAGAAGCGAUCUCUCUUUCUACUAAACAGAAGUGAGAAGCGAUCUCCCUUUCUACUAAACAGAAGUGAGAAGCGAUCUCCCUUUCUACUAAACAGAAGUGAGAAGCGAUCUCCCUUUCUACUAAACAGAAGUGAGAAGCGAUCUCUCUUUCUACUAAACAGAAGUGAUCUCCCUUUCUACUAAACAGAAGUGAGAAGCGAUCUCCCUUUCUACUAAACAGAAGUGAGAAGUGAUCUCCCUUUCUACUAAACAGAAGUGAGAAGCGAUCUCCCUUUCUACUAAACAGAAGUGAGAAGCGAUCUCUCUUUCUACUAAACAGAAGUGAGAAGCGAUCUCUCUUUCUACUAAACAGAAGUGAGAAGCGAUCUCUCUUUCUACUAAACAGAAGUGAUCUCCCUUUCUACUAAACAGAAGUGAGAAGCGAUCUCCCUUUCUACUAAACAGAAGUGAGAAGUGAUCUCCCUUUCUACUAAACAGAAGUGAGAAGCGAUCUCCCUUUCUACUAAACAGAAGUGAGAAGUGAUCUCCCUUUCUACUAAACAGAAGUGAGAAGCGAUCUCCCUUUCUACUAAACAGAAGUGAGAAGCGAUCUCUCUUUCUACUAAACAGAAGUGAGAAGCGAUCUCUCUUUCUACUAAACAGAAGUGAGAAGCGAUCUCUCUUUCUACUAAACAGAAGUGAGAAGCGAUCUCCCUUUCUACUAAACAGAAGUGAUCUCCCUUUCUACUAAACAGAAGUGAGAAGCGAUCUCCCUUUCUACUAAACAGAAGUGAGAAGCGAUCUCUCUUUCUACUAAACAGAAGUGAGAAGCGAUCUCUCUUUCUACUAAACAGAAGUGAGAAGCGAUCUCCCUUUCUACUAAACAGAAGUGAGAAGCGAUCUCUCUUUCUACUAAACAGAAGUGAGAAGUGAUCUCUCUUUCUACUAAACAGAAGUGAGAAGCGAUCUCUCUUUCUACUAAACAGAAGUGCCAACCAACUCAAGCCAGAUAAGACUAUGCUCGGAGAGCUACUAUAUUUGGCCACUUCAAUGCCUUCGUCUCUCCGCACAGAUGAUGUCAAUGGCCUUGUUUAGAAUUAUAGCAAGAGACAGUGGACAAAGUAAGCAAUACGAGGAACAUAAAGGUCUUCAACAUUUACUGCUGCAUUGAGGCCUUUUUGUCCAUAAUAACCUAUUGGGCUCAAUUUUACACACGCAGCGCAGCCUUGGCAAUGACCCCAUAAAGAAAACUAAGAGAACAUGCGAUUCCGGUGCAGCACAUGUCUCCUGUAAAGUUACAAGUAUAGGUCAGCGAAAUAGUUUUUAAUUUAAGUAUAAUGGGGCCUAUUUGUAUAAUUUUAGUCGACUGACGCAUAUAUACCUUGAAAUAAUAUUUCCCCUAAUGUUAUUUGUAUAUUAUAUUUGUUUUUGCUUGCUUCCUUCCUCUCUUUCAACUGUUAAAUGAAAUACGUUUCGUUGUCCUUUAUUCUCAUAAUUCUAAAUGACAUCCUUGAACAAUAUAGGACUCGAAUUAGAUGCAGAAGGCUUUCACUUCUCUUCACAAAGAUAGAAUGGUCAUGGGUCUGAAUAAAUAACUGCUAUAGCCGACCGACAUCGCGCGUUUGCUCUUUCAAACGAGUUAUACUGGCUGCUGUAUUUACCAUUCAGCAAACAAGCGCUUCAGUCCCUCUUCAAAUAGUCUAUUGGUAUAAGACAUGCUUAAUGUCCAAGCUAUUCUAGUCAAGCUUCUCCUGCAUAGGACUCCAACAGCUAAGGAGCAUGUUUUUAAAGAGGCCAGCGGAGCACGGGUGUGUGCGUAUUGCGCAAGAUAUAUAUAUAUAUAUAUUGAAUGGAGUUAGAGCGAGAAGGACGGUGUGCUCGCACGUGCACAGAUUUGAAAGCAAAGCUAUUCGAGUGAUGGGCUGUUUUUAAAACUGCAGCUGCAAUAAAACAAUUCUCUUUACAAUUUAAAAAAAUACAAGUGAUCCCUAAAGCCAGAUGUAAAGACAUUCAGUCGUUAUAUUACUGUAGCAUAGACUAUGCUGCAGAAAAUGCAGGCCUACCAUCACAAUAUAUUUAGUGUUUACCAUGAUGACAUGCUAGGUCUACAUACAUUGUGAACUGCGGUCCAUACUGCUGUUCCCUGAGCGUUGAUUCAUCAUGCAGAUGCCGUAGAGAAGACAGAUUUUAGACAUUAGGUAUAAUUUAUGUUUCAUUCACGCCAUGCUGUUCAUAUAAAUCAUUUAUUAUAAUUUUCCGGUUUCUCGCAGUUAUUUAUCCGGAGGAGAAAGGGUGUGGUUUUGGGCCGUGAAUCUCAGUAACCGGGUUCCCGCCAUUCAACCCUAGUUUCCGUGUGGCCAUUCCUCUUAUCCAAAUCGUAAUUUUUCGUUUGCGAUGUCUGUGAGAAAGCACAGAUUAUUGAAACAUCAUUGAAGCACAUAACACUAAAAUGUGAAGCGCGUAAUUCAAUCUCGAUGAUUAUUUUUCAAACGUUACCGAGGCUACGCUGCGUAUGUCACCCUGCUAUGUUUCAAUGUUAUAAGGCUACAAACAAGAUGCACAAAAUUAGCAUGCAUGUUGUAUUGCUUAGUUACUUUCCAACCAUGACCACUUCACCACAAGUGUUAUUGGUCUUUCAUAGGUCACACUCUGACCAUCACCGUUUCUGAGGAGACCGAAUCUGUGUUCCCGGCAGACAAAAUUGACAUGGAACAAGGAUGGUUUUUAAGGUUGUUUUUGUGAAGGUCUUUUUUCUUUAGCAAACUAAAUAAUGUGUUAAUCUGGUUGUAACAUAGCUUCUGAUCAAAUCACAACCAAAAUAUACGGUCUUUUCUAUGACCUCUUUACCUUGUCAUGAAAACAUUUUUCUCGAUUUCUCUUGCUUUACCUGGUUGUAAAAGAGACCCGUUGGUUGUAAUCUGGUUAUAGGACGUCUUCUCAACCAGAAAACUAGUUAACAACCAGAAAAUGUCAUAGACCAUCAGCAAAAUGUCCACUGGGUUGAUACCAUAAAUCAAACACUACUUCUGUGUUUGUGUCCGACCUAACACCUUCGCUCAAUUGCAGGGAAAGUCUGGGUUAAGGACAGAUCUUCCAUACUAAAUGUCAGACAUUGAACCUGUGAAAGUAACUCAAGUUUUAAACUGGAGACAAUAGAAUCAUUUGCCAGCAAUCCCUUACACAGUAUGCUGCGUUUCUCUUUCUAAGAAUGAAAACCCUAUCAAGCCGAGGAGGAAGACUUACCUCACAAUUUGAAUUCAUACAUUCUUCUGCCUCAUUGAUAUGAUCAUCAAUCCUUUCCCAUCUUAAUAUUUUGCUCUGUCCUUAAUGUCUUUCAGUGGAAAGUCAUAGACCUACAAGAGCUUCUGAAUUCAAUUCACUGUUGAGAAAUUUACCUUUUCUUCUUCUUUUUUUUUUUUUUACUAUGAAUUGUAAUUUUUCUUCAAUCAUAACUUGCAAUAUGCCUUUUCCAUGUUGCUGUGUGUUUUUAGUCUGUAUGAACAAAUGUUACAUGUAUCCACAUUGGAAUAUUCAUUUUUUUUUUGUGUGUUUUUGCAUUUGUUGAAAGGUCCAAUCCUUUUAACUUGGUUUGAUAGGCUACACUAUGGACAUUUAGUUGCUAAUUAUUUACCUCAGAUUUUUAGCUUGUUGACUGACUGUAUGGUUCAUUAUACACAUGCAUGACAUACUAUUCAUCGAUUUUAGCUGCAAUCAAGCCCAAGUGCCUCACUAUACACUAGUGCAGCGUUUUCCCAAACUUUGUCCUCGGGACCCCAAGGGGUGCAUGUUUUGGUUUUGCCCCCAACACUAAACAGCUGACUCAAAUAAUCAAAAGUUUGAUGAUUAGUUGAAUCAGCUGUGUAAUGCUAUAGGGGCAACUAAGCGCAACAACCCUUGGUGUCCCGAGCACAGAGUUUAGGGAAACCCAGAACUAGUGUUACACAUAGCAACUUUUUAAUGCAAUUUUAGUUGCCAUUGAGCUCCCUUACUGGGCUGUAUGGAACAUGCAUGAGCCACAAUUUCCAUUUUGUAAGCCAGCAUUCAUUUAGUACACUUCAUACCAUGAAUUUGUAAAACAUUGUGGGUUCUGUUCCGCUUGAAAUAUUAUCAGAUACGGCUUAUGUUGUAAUAUCUACUUGAUUAUAUAACCGUCCAGUUGAUCAAAACCAAUGUGCUGGCAUGUUGUAUGAUGAAUGUUAAACUCAUUUGAUCAGUAAUCUUUGUUACUCCGUUGCCCAUGACUGGUCGGUACUGUGCCUCCGUAGACCUAUUUUUGGGGGUCAAGCAUGUCCUGUCCACACUGUAUACAGGAGUGGAUGUCUUGAGUCGAAUUGUACUUGAGCACGCUGCAAUCGAGUCACUCUGACCCUGUUUAUACCUGCUGAUAACAUGCAGCCUUUUUCCUGCUCUUAUCCACACAUUCUGAUUCUGCCCAAUUUUUUUUUUUUGACAAGUGCAGAUUUAAAAAAAAAAAUAUAUAUAUAUAUAUAUUUUUUAAAUGCAUUGUGAUCUGAUAGGUGUAAACAGAGAAGAUCAGGACGAAGGACACAUGUUAACGGCAGGUGUAAACAGAGAAGAUCGGGACGAAGGACACAUGUUAACGGCAGGUGUAAACAGAGAAGAUCAGGACGAAGGACACAUGUUAACGGCAGGUGUAAACAGGUUCAAAUAAGGUUCUCCUCAUUUCAGCACCACUGAUGGAUGUCUACAUUCCAUAUUGUAGACAAUGAUCAUUUUCUUGGUCAAAUUUAGAGGGGUGAGGCUGUAUCAUCGAUAAUUGAAAAAUAACUCAAAACAAAUGAAAGGCCUAACACAUCCUCUUCCUUUCUGUUUAGCUAAAUUACAGCUCUCCUUGUAUUGAGUUGCUUCUGCCUUGUUCUGUUUGUACAACUCAUGUAAAAUAUUGUACAAUAAAAGUAUUGAGUCUAUAGAUGAGGCAAUAAUGACA